GAUGAACGCUGGCGGCGUGCUUAACACAUGCAAGUCGAACGGUGAAGGUGGGAGCUUGCUCCUGCUGGAUCAGUGGCGAACGGGUGAGUAACACGUGAGUAACCUGCCCCGGACUCUGGGAUAAGCGUUGGAAACGACGUCUAAUACCGGAUACGAGACGAGAAGGCAUCUUCAUCGUCUGGAAAGAUUUUUUGGUCUGGGAUGGACUCGCGGCCUAUCAGGUUGUUGGUGAGGUAAUGGCUCACCAAGCCUACGACGGGUAGCCGGCCUGAGAGGGUGACCGGCCACACUGGGACUGAGACACGGCCCAGACUCCUACGGGGGGCAGCAGUGGGGAAUAUUGCACAAGGGGCGAAAGCCUGAUGCAGCAACGCCGCGUGAGGGACGACGGCCUUCGGGUUGUAAACCUCUUUUAGUAGGGAAGAAGCGAAAGUGACGGUACCUGCAGAAAAAGCACCGGCUAACUACGUGCCAGCCGCCGCCGUAA
rnacentral:rRNA from 1 species